AUGAUAAAGCUUAGGUCAACAGAGACUCACCAAAAGAUACUUGAUAUCCCCAGUCGGUUCUACCCCUACUUUGAGGACCACAUUGGGGCACUUGAUGGCACCCACAUCCCUGCAUUUGUCCCUGAGAACAUAGCUAACAGAUUUCGAGGUAGGAAGUCAUACCCAACCCCAAAUGUCCUUGCAGUUGUGGAUUUUGAUUUGAGGUUUACCUACGUACUUGCUGCAUGGGAGGGGUCUACUCAUGACUCGAUAGUUCUAAAGGCUUCCCUUAACAGAACAAAUGGGAUUCCAAUGCCGGAAGGCAAAUAUUACUUAGCUGAUGCAGGGUAUGCAGCAAGACCUGGUAUACUACCUCCAUAUAGAGGUGUC
rnacentral:rRNA from 1 species